rnacentral:rRNA from 1 species
CGGCAACAGCUCAAAUUUGAAAUCUGGCCUCUCGGGGUCCGAGUUGUAAUUUGUAGAGGAUGUUUUGGCGUUGGCAGCGGUCCAAGUUCCUUGGAACAGGACGUCACAGAGGGUGAGAAUCCCGUACGUGGUCGCUAACCUUCGCCGUGUAAAGCCCCUUCGAC